rnacentral:rRNA from 1 species
CCUACGGGUGGCAGCAGUGGGGGAUAUUGGUCAAUGGGCGGAACCCUGAUCCAGCGACGUCGCGUGAGUGAAGAAGUAUCUCGGUAUGUAAAGCUCUGUCAGCAGGGAAGAAAGCAAUGACGGUACCUGACCAAGAAGCCCCGGCUAACUACGGGCCAGCAGCCGCGGUAAUACGUAGGGGGCAAGCGUUAUCCGGAAUUACUGGGUGUAAAGGGAGCGUAGGCGGCUGUGCAAGUCUGGAGUGAAAGGCGGGGGCCCAACCCCCGGACUGCUCUGGAAACUGGAUGGCUGGAGUGCAGGAGAGGUAAGCGGAAUUCCUAGUGUAGCGGUGAAAUGCUUAGAUAUUAGGAAGAACACCGGUGGCGAAGGCAGCUUACUGGACUGUAACUGACGUUGAGGCUCGAAAGUGUGGGGAGCAAACAGGAUUAGAUACCCUUGUAGUC